rnacentral:rRNA from 1 species
AUGAGGUUGGGCCUGAAGGUGGGCUGUGUGGGUUGCACCAUGCUCAGUAUCCCUCGUCGAGGUGGAGGGACUAUGGGCUCUGGGCGAAAUCUUUGGCCGGCGGGGGGGCGGUACCGGCGGCGGAGGCAUCCUAGGCAUCUUUAUCCUCCUUGGAGGCGUUGCCGAAGAGUUCAUCCAGACACCAGAUCAUUGUGGCUGGUACUAGGUUCCGGUGGCUAUUGGCGUGGCUGGAUCCCCUCCCACGGGGUUCAGUGGGGUGGUGGUGUGCAGAGCUCUUGGCAAAAGCUUUGUCCCGACGGAGGCGUUAUCGAAGUGCUUCUUCACUCCUACCUCGGGUCGCUUUGGCCCUCGAUCGAUUGGUUUGUGUUUGGUGGUGGUGCCUAG